rnacentral:tRNA from 1 species
GGAGGGUUCGCAUAGUGGUCUAGUGCACACGCUUGGAAAGCGUGCGACCCGCAAGGGUCCGAGAGUUCGAAUCUCUCACCCUCCG